CUCUCCACCUACAUCAAGCCUCACCUCUUUCGACCACCAGCCGUCGUGGAGCCUUACUUCACCGCUUCUAUCCCCUCUGAGCCCCAUGAGUCUUCGCCAUGCAAGAUUGUCACUGGAGCUUUGCUAGGAUUAUUUCCGGCCUUUCUCUGUUGGAUUCUGGUGAGAUAAUGCUGUAAACACCAUUAUUCUCGAGUUUCACAGCCAGGUUUCUUUUGUUUCUCUCACUGGUUUUUUAUAAAACCCUAAUCUCAACCCAAAACUCUCAAACCUCUGAUUUUUAAUGAUUCUAACUCUUACUUUUAUGUUUUGCACUAUUUUCUACUCGAUCUUUACGAUUGCUCCGGUUUUAAAUGUUUUCGUAGCCCUUUUCGAAAAUACCUUAUCUUCUGAUUUUAAGUACUAAUCCAUUAUUCCAAGUACGAUUUCUAAGCUAUUUUUGCUCAAGUCUGAUGAAACCCCAGCUUUAUAUGUUUGUAUUUGUGUUAUUUGCUCGUCCGCUGGUUCUUCUGGAUUCUUCUCUGAGUUCUUUGUUCUUUGCUUUAGUUUUGUUGCUCGUGUUUCAGUCCCCUACUAUUCUGUGUUCUCUGCUUAGGGUUCUCUCCGAUAUUGUUCAAUAUGGGCUAUGUAUCGUUUGCUAAACUUAGCCAUUCGUCCUAUUGACUGUUUAGAUGGUGAUUUUAUACUGAUUCUUACAAGUUGUCUUCAAGACUAUGAUUACUUGCCUUAAAUUGUGAUUUUGUGUAUUCUCCUUAUAGUUUGGUAUUGAUUGGACACCUUCCUCAAUCAAUACUGAUCCCUUAAGUUUUCAGUCUCAUUCACUAUUUUGAAAACUAUUUUCCAAAAUUACAGUUAUAUUUUUCCCUAUAUAUGUGCACAAAUUUGUUGAUUGAUUUGCUUGACAUAUUUCCCUAGUUAAGUACCAUGCACCUAGUCUUCAUUGUAUACCUUAUACUAUUCUGUUUUCUUAUGUGACCAUACCAUGCUUUGUGAUUCCUUUGCUUUUAAAAUAAAUGUUUAUUACCGUUUGACUUUUAUUAUGUAAUUAAAGGAGAGUCCAUAUGUUGAUUUGAUUAUGAUUGAUACCCAGUUCCUUAAUUAUGGACUGCUACCUUGUUUAUUUACUCAUAUUCAGUACUAUAAGUACUCCCCAUUCUCUUUUACACGAACACAACUGACACACUGCAUAUCACAAACACAUAUGCAGUAAUCACAUUGCUCUCCCUUGUGUUAUUUCUCUACUUUUCUCUCUUAUGUAGUUGUUGCUCCCUACUCUUCACUAUUACUAGCUGGCUGAAAAGCAAAGGCUAAUAUUGUGCUCACAUUUGGCUCUUGCAUUCUGCUGUGCUCUCUUUGUUGCUAGUAUGUCCUGAUUAAAUUCUAUGUUCCAAACCAAAGUGGUUUUUGCUACUUCAGUAUGUUCUAUUCCUAAUUGUUUUCUACUUGUGCUUCUGUUGUGCAACCUGUGAUUGAUUCGUAGGCUGUCUAUUGAUACUUACAUGCUCAUGACCACUGUUUACCUGUUAUGGCUGCAUGUUGUUACUGUUUACUUUUGUGUCUCAAUUUGUCUAUUUCAAGGCCUCUUAAAUCUCUUUGAUUUUGUGAGUUUGCAUAUUUGUCCCCAUUACCCAUUAGCCUUGUGUGCAACCAUGCUCUUACAUGUGGACUAAUUGUCUCAUUUCCCUAUUUGUGUUUGCUUUCGUGAACUAUGGGUGAUAUUCUAGUUCUGAGAUUGUGAUACUUACCUUCUUACAAAACCGUCGCACUCUACUACUGUUUUCUCUCAAAAAGCUGAUUCUAUAGGGAUCAUUUUCAAAUUGUUUUCUCUCAACUUAAUUUCUUUUAAACUAUACCAGGCACUCUCACUACUCAUAAAGAUUAGGUUAUAACCCCUUAGUGUAAGCAUUGCUUUGGGUACCCCUAAACACCCACUGAACUUUGAUGCACAAGGCUGAUAAUUCCAUAUUGCACCUGUCCAACAAUCUUGGUAAGUGUUUGGUAUUGGCAUUGUCCAGGGACCCAAUGGGGGCCUUAAGGAGCUUUGUCGCACCCAGACCAUGGCAAAGGUUGUGAAACUCAAAAGGAGUGAGGUUGGAAGAAUGGGCCUGACUGAAGGCUCCAUAUAGAAUAACUUCUGCUUUUCCUUAUUACUGUAAUUCAGCUAUCCUUGGUUUGUAAUAAUUUACAAAUGAACGAUUGGGGCUGGAUUUUGAAUAUGGGGGUUAUGUAUGCUUAGUUUAAUCAAUGGGUAGACAACAUGCUUAUAGGAUUUUAUUUACUUAUUUGUGCAAUAGAUAUCCUAUAUAGGACAUGUAUCUCAUUCAUUAGAGAUCCUGCUUUAGGUUUUGUACUUUCAACCUGUUCUUAUACUCAUAUUGUAACCUUGAUC
rnacentral:lncRNA from 1 species